CUUCCAUCUCUGUGUCUUUGGUAUAAUCGUCCCCCUUGUGUUAAGGCUAAGCUGGAAAGUGAUGCAUCAGCAGAGAGCCAGGAGGAGGAUCAAAGGUGGAACAUGACAGGCCCCUCUCUCUUUCUUCAUCCAAAUGGCUACUGCUCUGAUUGUCCAUUAUUCGAUCAACUAUUAACCCCAGGGAACAAAAUCUAGAAUUUCCUAGGAAGGCAUUAUUAGCCUCUUUUCCUGCAGACAUUGUGGUGCAUCUUGGGAAGAGAAACUCAAAUUAG